UACUAGACAUGACAUUUAUGUCUAUACAACAUUAUAUUAUUCUAUUUUCCAUCUCUGUGUCUUUACAGGUUGUCUCUUGAAGUCUGCUUUCCUGAUUAGUGAGUUCCCAAUAUGGAUUUACAUUUCUGAGAGGCCCUAAGCAUGCUGCUCACUUCUCUCCUAGUUCAAUUUAUUCUCUGGACCUCCCUACCAAUUGCCAAGUACUCUCCUCCUUUCCUGCACCUACUCCCCAUAAGCUGUUGGAGGGCCACCUAAGAGGACUGAGAAGACGGAGUUUGUCAGCUGCCCUGAGGUGGAAUUUGG
ensembl:lncRNA